UACGGAGGGUGCAAGCGUUAUCCGGAUUCACUGGGUUUAAAGGGUGCGUAGGUGGGCUGGUAAGUCAGUGGUGAAAUCUCCAGGCUUAACUUGGAAACUGCCAUUGAUACUAUCAGUCUUGAAUACCGUGGAGGUCAGCGGAAUAUGUCAUGUAGUGGUGAAAUGCUUAGAUAUGACAUAGAACACCAAUUGCGAAGGCAGCUGGCUACACGAAUAUUGACACUGAUGCACGAAAGCGUGGGGAUCAAACAGG
rnacentral:rRNA from 1 species